UACGAAGGGGGCUAGCGUUGCUCGGAAUCACUGGGCGUAAAGCGCACGUAGGCGGGUCCUUAAGGCAGGGGUGAAAUCCCGGAGCUCAACUCCGGAACUGCCUUUGAUACUGGGGAUCUUGAGUCCGGAAGAGGUGAGUGGAACUCCGAGUGUAGAGGUGAAAUUCGUAGAUAUUCGCAAGAACACCAGUGGCGAAGGCGGCUCACUGGCCCGAUACUGACGCUGAGGCACGAAAGCGUGGGGAGCAAACAGG
rnacentral:rRNA from 1 species